GCGGGUGUAGUGUAGUGGUUAUCACAGGGGCUUCCCAAGCCUCUGACCCGGGUUCGAAUCCCGGCACCCGCA
rnacentral:tRNA from 1 species